AUGUCGGAGAGGAAGCGCCGGGCGGGGGCAGAUGCGGCCGCGGGGGGUUCGACCUCGAAGAAACCGCGCGGCGCCUCGGCUGCCGCAUCCUACGCCCAAUCCCUCCGCUCGAAGCUCCGCCCGGACGCCUCCAUCCUCGCCUCCCUCCGCGCCCUCGCCUCCGCCGCCUCCAAAUCCAAGCCCGCGGCCGCGUCCUCAGCCGGAGCGAAAGCCCUCUCCGAGGACGACCCGGCCUCCGCCUCCUCCAACUACAUCGUGGUCGCCGACCAGGACACCACCUCCGUCACCUCCCGCAUCAACCGCCUCGUCCUCUCCGUCGCGCGAAGCAUCCUGGCUGGCCGCGGCUUCUCCUUCGCCGUCCCCUCCCGCGCCUCCUCAAACCAGGUAUACCUCCCGGAUCUCGACCGCAUCGUGCUCCUCCGCCGCGAGUCCGCGAGGCCCUUCGCCAACGUCGCCACCGCGCGCAAGGCCACCGUCACCGCGCGCGUCCUCUCCCUUGUCCACGCCGUCCUGCGCAGGGGCAUCCACGUCACCAAGAGGGAUCUCUUCUACACCGACGUGAAGCUCUUCGGCGACCAGUCCCAGUCGGACGCCAUCCUCGAUGACGUCUCCUGCAUGCUUGGAUGCACCCGCUCGUCACUCCAUGUCGUCGCCUCUGAGAAGGGCGUUGUGGUUGGCCGCCUCAUUUUUGCUGAUGACGGCGACGUCAUCGACUGCACGCGAAUGGGCGUCGGCGGUAAGGCCAUCCCGCCCAACAUUGACAGGGUGUCAGGCAUUGAGAGCGACGCUCUGUUCAUCUUGCUUGUGGAGAAAGAUGCUGCUUUCAUGCGCCUCGCCGAGGACCGGUUCUACAACCGUUUUCCGUGCAUCAUAUUGACAGCAAAGGGCCAGCCGGAUGUUGCCACCAGGUUGUUCUUGCGCCGGCUUAAGGUAGAGCUGAAGCUGCCGGUGCUCGCAUUGGUGGACUCUGAUCCAUAUGGGCUCAAGAUCUUGUCCGUGUAUAUGUGCGGCUCCAAGAACAUGUCAUAUGACAGUGCCAAUCUUACAACGCCAGAUAUCAAGUGGCUCGGCGUGCGGCCAAGUGAUCUGGACAAGUACAGGGUACCGGAGCAGUGCCGGCUUCCCAUGACUGAUCACGAUAUCAAGGUAGGAAAAGAGAUGCUAGAGGAAGACUUCGUGAAGCAAAAUGAAGGGUGGGUGAAGGAGUUGGAGACGAUGUUGCGAACAAAACAAAAGGCUGAGAUUCAGGCUCUCAGCUCCUUUGGGUUCCAGUACCUGACUGAGGUAUAUCUACCCCUCAAGCUGCAGCAGGAGGACUGGAUUUGA
rnacentral:rRNA from 1 species